GUGUCAGCCGCCGCGGUAAUACGAAGGGGGCGAGCGUUGCUCGGAAUGACUGGGCGUAUAGGGCGCGUAGGCGGAUGCCGCAGUCGGGCGUGAAAUCCCCGGGCUCAACCCGGGACGUGCGCCCGAGACGCGGGGUCUGGAGUGGGGGAGAGGGUCGCGGAAUUCCCAGUGUAGAGGUGAAAUUCGUAGAUAUUGGGAAGAACACCGGUGGCGAAGGCGGCGACCUGGCCCUUGACUGACGCUGAGGCGCGACAGCGUGGGGAGCAAACAGGAUUAGAAACCCCAGUAGUCC
rnacentral:rRNA from 1 species